UACGAAGGGGGCUAGCGUUGUUCGGAAUUACUGGGCGUAAAGCGCGCGCAGGCGGUUCUCCAAGUCAGUGGUGAAAGCCCCGGAGCUCAACUCCGGAACUGCCAUUGAAACUGUUGAACUUGAGGACGAGAGAGGUGAGUGGAAUUCCCAGUGUAGAGGUGAAAUUCGUAGAUAUUGGGAAGAACACCAGUGGCGAAGGCGGCUCACUGGCUCGUAUCUGACGCUCAGGCGCGAUAGCGUGGGGAUCAAACAGG
rnacentral:rRNA from 1 species